GGUCCGUUCGUCUAGAGGCCUAGGACAUCAGGUUUUCAUCCUGGAGAUCAGGGGUUCAAAUCCCCUACGGACUAC
rnacentral:tRNA from 1 species